rnacentral:rRNA from 1 species
GAUGAACGCUGGCGGCGUGCCUAAUACAUGCAAGUCGAGCGAACGGACGAGAAGCUUGCUUCUCUGAUGUUAGCGGCGGACGGGUGAGUAACACGUGGAUAACCUACCUAUAAGACUGGGAUAACUUCGGGAAACCGGAGCUAAUACCGGAUAAUAUUUUGAACCGCAUGGUUCAAAAGUGAAAGACGGUCUUGCUGUCACUUAUAGAUGGAUCCGCGCUGCAUUAGCUAGUUGGUAAGGUAACGGCUUACCAAGGCAACGAUGCAUAGCCGACCUGAGAGGGUGAUCGGCCACACUGGAACUGAGACACGGUCCAGACUCCUACGGGAGGCAGCAGUAGGGUAUCUUCCGCAAUGGGCGAAAGCCUGACGUAGCAACGCCGCGUGAGUGAUGAAGGUCUUCGGAUCGUAAAACUCUGUUAUUAGGGAAGAACAUAUGUGUAAGUAACUGUGCACAUCUUGACGGUACCUAAUCAGAAAGCCACGGCUAACUACGUG